CAGUCGCCGCGGGAAUACGUAGGGUGUAAGCGUUAAUCGGAUUUACUGGGCGUAAAGGGCGCGUAGGUGGUUAUGUAAGUGAGAUGUGAAAUCCCCGGGCUCAACCUGGGAACCGCAUCUUAUACUGCGUAGCUGGAGUGCAGUAGAGGGUAGUGGAAUUUCCGGUGUAGCGGUGAAAUGCGUAGAUGUCGGAAGGAACACUAGUGGCGAAGGCGGCUAUCUGGACUGACACUGACACUGAGGCGCGAAAGCGUGGGGAGCAAACAGGAUUAGAUACCCGGGUAGUCCCUGUCUCUUAUAC
rnacentral:rRNA from 1 species